rnacentral:rRNA from 1 species
UUUAAGUUUUAUCCAGUUGUUUAUCUGGGGCGGAUACCUUCAUUAAAGUAACGAGGGUAAACAAAGGCAUACUAAAAGUGAACUAUAAAGCUGUGCUUAACUGUGAGAAACACUAUUCAAGCAGAUGUAUAUUCAUAAAUGACUUAUGAAGAAGCAGGUAGUAAUGAACGGGUUUAUUUUAUUAAUAAAUCUAUCAACGGACAAAAGGUACGCCGGGGAUAACAGUAUAAGAUUGUCCCUAAUACAAAUAAUUGUGUUAUAUAAUAUUGGGUUAAAUUCAAGAAUAAUACAUAUAGUAUUUAACUUGAAGCAACAGUCUAAACUAGUACAUUAGUAUAAUAUAGACAAUGCUCAACGACUAAAAGCCCAACAACUUAAAAAACAACGGGUUGAUGACAUAGUCUGAACUUAAUAAUAAAUAUUAAGACUAACAUUAUUGAACAGGCUUAUACGAAUAGAGAGUUCAUAUCGACAUUCGUGUUUGGCACCUCAACAUAUAGGGGUAGAUAUUGUAUAUAUUACAUAUCUCUAUUUAGCUAUAUGUCGGGACAUUCUAAAUAAAGAACAAUCGGCAGGAAAUUAAUUAAAGUACGAGUCGGCCUCAUAUUAAUUAAAUCCUCAACGACUAUACGCUAAAGGUUAAUAUAAUUUUAACUGUAAUAUAGUCUGAACUAUUAAGUAAUUAAUAGAACAUUAUUUAUAUUGGUUAUAUUGGUUAUAUUGGUUAUAAGUAGGCUGAUAUAUAUAUUAAUUAACAUUAUUGCGAUGUUGAAUCAUCACGUCCUUAAGCUGUACAAGGUUUAAAGGGUUAGGGUGUUCACCUAUUAAAGUGGUACGUGAUUUGAGUUUACUACGUUGUGAGACAGUAGAGUUUCUAUCUUCUAACACACUUUUAUAACUACUAAGAGAUAAUAGUACGAAAGGACCCUUAUCUCCAAACCUCUGGUUUAGUUAUUGUGAAUAGCAUUGUAACAAAGCUAAGUUUGUCUUUUAAAGAAGUAGUGAUAAAAUACUUGUACAAAUGAACUAACGUAUUGUGUUUAUAUUAGCAAAUACGAAUAGAAUCAUAAUAAUAAUAA